CCGUUCUUGUGUUGUUUGCUGAAUUCGCUUCUUCGAUCAGUGAUUGUCAUACAGAACGCAAACUGAAUCCCAAGACAGUUUUUCACUCCACAUUGUUGAGCCUAUUAAAAAUACCAAGGCUGCUGCAAUACUAACGCGCUGACUACAGAC